CAAUGAGUGUUUAAUGGCACUCUAAAUCCAUUACCCACCUUGUGUGCAAUGUCGAGGGGGAGAGGAGGGAACAUUCUUUUCUUCUCCCCUUUUCAUACAUACCAAAAAACUUUUAAUUAUCAGUCUACAUCUAUUUAGAGUAUAAAAAACUCGAAAUA
rnacentral:misc_RNA from 1 species